rnacentral:rRNA from 1 species
CGGACGGGUGAGUAAUGUCUGGGAAACUGCCUGAUGGAGGGGGAUAACUACUGGAAACGGUAGCUAAUACCGCAUAACGUCGCAAGACCAAAGAGGGGGACCUUCGGGCCUCUUGCCAUCAGAUGUGCCCAGAUUGGAUUAGCUUGUUGGUGGGGUAACGGCUCACCAAGGCGACGAUCCCUAGCUGGUCUGAGAGGAUGACCAGCCACACUGGAACUGAGACACGGUCCAG